AUCCGUGUUCUACCCUGACAGUAUUUUCCAGUGUGACACUGCAACAGAUCCGAAGAUGUAUUUGCAAUGGGCUUGGGAUCUGGUUCCUAUUACAGAUGACCCUGCGGACUUUUUCUGCUAGAAACCUUAUUAGUGAAUACCUAUUUGUCUUCUACAAUUCCACCUAAGAGAGGGAAGAUUGCUCAAUUUCUGUAGCAGGGGAAAGUCAAGGUCCUACGAACAGCCACCAUGGUGACUCUUCCUCUUUUCCUCUUCUUCGUCCUCUUGCCCUGCAGUAAAGCCCGGGACGAAUUUCUGGACCAGCAUCAGAAAUGGAACUACAGAGAAGGCGCUGACAAGGUCAACAUAGAAGGCAUUAACAGCAUUACUCAAACACUUGAGAAAUGGGGAAAUGGCAUCUUCUGGCAAAUGAAACACAAAAAAAAAAUGAAACCCACCCUUCUGAACAACCCAAAUGCUUUACUGCCCGAGUUCUCCAGCCUCCGCCCUGUCUCCGCAGCUGUGGACAAUCUUGUGAGGGAAGUCCAUUCGAUAAGGAAAAGGCUAGAAGAACUGAAUGAACGCCUCAACGUCAUCAGCAAAACUGUCCUUCCCAUCCGAUUGAAUGCUCUGCAGAGCCAGAGGCGUGGAAAUACUCAGCUGCGGAGACUUCCGAUGCAUAGGAGAAGGUUGUAUGCUCGCAGGAGACCUCAAAGGAGUUAAUUCUCUACCAGAAAGAAAGGGAAAUCUUUCUUUUUUUCAUCUGCUUAAGCCUUUCUCCAUGGGACUCUGCUAGAGAAAAUAAAGCAAAGCACAUGCAAGUCAGCUUUAUUAAGGAGACCAGAACUUCUGCAUUUUGUUGCUGCCUUUCAAACCUAGGUCAGUAGGUGAAAUCUGACCCUUCAGUGAUGGCUGUUUGGUGUCCCAAGCAGAAUGAGUUGACAAGCUCAGUCUACUUGAGUGUGAAUACCUUCAGGCUAUACAAUCAUUCUUUCUGCUUACCAGAGGAAGUUCUUUCUAUAAAGAUCAGGUGAAUUUCUCUCUCUGUCCUAUUUUUACAGCACUCCAUCUGACACAGCUGGGGAAUCUGAUCUUCAAAAGUACUGAACGCCUGAUGAAUGCAGAAAGAUUGAUUACUGUUUGGCAAUUCCAGCUGGGCAGGGAGGGGUAGAGGAAGCUAUGUUUUAAAAUACAGCCUUAACCUAUUCUCCAUCAGUGCAAAGAAUGCCCCGUUCACAUGUUCAGAGGGUAGGUAGGGUUGGAUAACCUUGGUCUGUUCCAAGACUGAAGAUGUGUCAGAUUCUAGGGACCAAAUUUGAACAUCUAUCUUCUGCAAAGAGCUUUUUUUUAGCUAUCUGGAACUGGGCACUCAAAACCUUGUUAUUCAGCAGAUAUGUUCAGAAUUUCCAGCACUCUGAAAGACGUCGCAUUGACUUCUGCCAAGACCCUUGGAAACCAGGGGAUGUUUUUUCAAAACUAUUCAGAUAGCUAAUGGCAUAGAUAGGUGUCUAGAAGGAUUUUCCAAAAUAGUUUAAGAGACAGUUCAGUCCCCAAAAUCACAGAUAAUAAUUCAAUUGGUGUCUAAUUCGCAGAGUAUCUUCUCCACAUGCAAGCACUGACCUCCAGACAUUUUCCAACAUCCUUUAGCACAAUUAAGAUCUGUAGAAAAAUAAUAACUACGCAAGUCAAGGACUUUGGUGCCUCAGGGAGUACCCAGAAUACCCCGCCUUCGGCUUGUCCUUGCCUGUGGCUUCCUGAUGAUAGAAGUGGUGAUAAAAAACAGUGCAGAAAUCAAAUUAUGCACUGAACAGAGGAUAUAGUGGGCUUGCCCUUCAGGUCUCUAAAGGUAAAUCCAAUAUAGAGAUUCCCAUCCAGCACUGCAGCCAACUGUAUACCUGAAAUCUGUUGAAACAUAGGCAGGAGAGUCAGAGAGGAAAAUAAACUAUUUUUUUAAAGGUCUGGAUGAAGCAAUUUAUGAGAACAAAAAUAAAGAAUGGAUUAUGUCUAAAUGGUUGUGGGGGAGGCUGGCAUGACAGUUGUUUUGCAAACACUCUCCAACCAUAAACAGUGAGGAUGCAGACUAGCUAUUUAAGGAUUCCAAGGCCUGAGUUUAUGGAAAGAAGUUCAGCGACACUACAGUAACCUCCAGAGGGAAACGGGAAAAACUAGUUUCAUAUGAAAUCUUUCAAAAUGAACCAGAAGAAGCAACACAGUCAGCAUUUUGGCUGUGACCUGGGAGUUCAGUGGGGGAGGUAUGAGGAGUGUAUGAGACAAUCUGAUAAAUAUUUCCCGGGUGCAAAUUCUGAGUUCAGGUUUUCAGAAAAUAACAAAACUCUAACUUGGAAGAUCUUUCUUUGGCUUUUGCUUGGGAAUUUGAAACACUGCAUAACUAGACAAAGGAAGAAUCAAGCCUGUGAAAAGGCUCAUAAAAAGAUACAGUUGUGCCGUUGGUGAAGUUGUCAUCAUAAUUUCUCAGGAAGUGUAAAGUAUUUUGAUCCCAGAAUAUAUUUACCUAAAUUACAAGGAAUAACAAGAGAGAAAGGCCUCAUCAACCUCCUCCUUGUUAUUUGGCAUUCAGAGCUACUAGGCUGUGCUGUAGCAUCAGCUGUACACUUGCACAGACUGCUGGUCCCUCCAGGGGAUGCUUUACACUCUUUGCUUGGGGCUGUAGGGACUGGACUGCUGGUCACUUUGGCCUAUCUAGAGGAAGAAUACAACAUAAAAAACAGCUUUCAUGUUCAUAUUUUAGACAUGAGCAUUUUAUCAGGCAACCUGAAGUUGUAUAAAAUCCAACAUGAAACAGAAAGGUAAGACUCCUGGCCCAGGGAAGCCCCUCAGUCACAGAUGGCUGGAGGUGGGAGGCCAGACCAGAUCACUGAAUGCUUUUACUUUUUACCUAGAAGUCCACCACCAGCUUCUGCCAGGGACAGAGGAUCGGGCAAGAUGGACCUCUGCUCUGACCCAGUCCAUGUAUUUCUAUACUGAUAUGUGCAAGUUGGUAUCUUUGGCAAAAUUCCUCAGCUCAAUGGAGAAAUUCACUGUUUUAAAAGAGAACAAAUAAGCUGCAGCAUGCAAUGUAUAUUACAAUUUUACAAUUUC